rnacentral:misc_RNA from 1 species
AGCUUACACAUAAGUUCCAUAAAAAAGAUCACCAACAUUAAUUACAUAUGCCAACUUGGUUAAUUCAACUUAAUUUACUGACCCACAUUUCUUUCUAAUUUGUCCAUUUUUCCCUGUAAGUACUCCAACAUUGCCCAUCUUCACCAUCGAUGCUGCGAAAUCGCUGUUGAAAAGAUAUGCCAUAUACGUAUAGGAAUUAACCAAUGCAGCAGCUGUUGAGUCCCCCAUUA